rnacentral:lncRNA from 1 species
CACGAGGAUCCACCGGAGGACAUGGUCAUCGCUUCGUUCACUCUUAAAGGAGAUCACAUCCGAAGGCUGAAGGAACUGAUUUCCGCCAAAGCCGGAGCCAUGGAGGGAGGCGGCGCAUCCCUCCGCUGCUCCACCAUCAUGGCGACCUACGCUUACGUUUGGGUGUGCCUAAUCAAAGCACGAGCAUACGGAAGCGACCGGACUGCCCACUUCAUGUUUGCUGCCGACUGCAGAGGAAGGCUGAGGCCCCCUCUGCCGGCGGCGUACUUCGGGAACUGCCUCGGCGCCUGCUUCGUCGAAGUGAAGGCAGGCGAACUCCUACGAGAAAAUGGGGUCGUCUCGGCUGCGAAAGCUAUUGGCAAAGCCAUAGAAAGAUUCGGAGACGAUCCUUUACGAGGUGCAGAGACAUGGCCGGAGAGAAUCAAGUAUGUCGCGCUUCAGCAACCAUUAAGCGUGGCGGGAUCACCCAGGUUUCGGGUGUACGAUCUGGAUUUUGGGUGGGGAAGGCCGAAGAAGGUGGAGGUCACCUCCAUCGUGAGGUCAGGAGCCAUGUCUCUGGCGGAGAGCAGAGACGAAGAUGGUGGGGUGGAGAUCGGGAUGGGUCUCCUAAAGCAUGAGAUGGAUGAGUUCGCGACCCACUUCAUCGAUGGCCUCGAUCGAUUGCAAUAAUCAUUUCUUGGAAGGUUUUCAGCAUCAAUUAUUUCUCUCUUAAAACAUAUAUGAAGCUUUAAUUGUCUCUAUCUAUGAACUCAGUCAGCAUUUCAGACUGGGAAUAUUUCGAAAUGUUUGUAAAUAUGGACAAUUAAUAAUUGCAUGGGAAUAUUUCGAUUUGAUCCAAAGAUAAUAUUUUAAGGAAAGUAAGCUUAAAUCCAUUAAUUUCCCAACAAAGUGGCCAUGGAAAUUAUGUGUUAAAUGAGUUAUCUACUGGGUCCUGAUAUUUAUUGUUUUACUAAAAGUAAAAAACUAAUAUUAUGUUAGAAAAUCUAGUACAAUAUUCUCCUUUGAUAUUAUAGCAGAUUAACUUAAAAAUAAUCUGAGUCAUUCUUUUCUCAAAAAAAAAAAAGAAGAAGAGGAUAUUGAUAUUAUAAACCUGAUUAUUUUAUCUAUAAACUUAUGUAAUUUUUUUUAUAUGAAAAAAAUUUACCUGAUAUUUCAAAGAUAAAAUGUUUCUUCAAGUAGUAAAGUCCAUGAUAUUUUAAAUAUAUUUUUAAAAAUAAACGAUGAAGACAGGUCUAAUCAUAUGAUCUUACUAUAUUAUGAUGAGUCAAGAUUUUUACCAGAUAAACUGGUUAAUAUUUUCAAAUAUUUAUUAGCUGAAAUUAUAGAUUCUCAAUCUUUACUACAUUAAGGCUAAUAUUUUGAGUGUUAAAAUUUGUAAUAUAAGAUUUGGAACUUUGAUCUUGAGACAAUGGAGCCCUAUGUUUCCUGUGCACAUCAAUAAUCAUCUAAUUAUUAGAUGAAGUUUUUGAAAUGAUGUUGCUGUUCUUAAAAUUUUGAUUUCUUCUCCUACUAUUUUAUUAUUCUUCAGAUUUAUUUAUUUCCUCUUUAUAUUUUAUUUCAUGAUAAAGCCAACUGAACAUGAUGGAUGGAUGAAUUAUGCCUUGUCCUUGUAAUAUUAAAUGGGAAAAACCAACAACAGGUCAGUUCAAUCUAAAUUAUCCUAUUGAUCAUAGUUAUCAAGAUGCUAAACAACAAUUACUGUAAAGACAAGACUAUUCAAAGCAUUUUAUUUGACUCUUGAUAAUAAUUUUCAAUGUGUCCAUAUCAAAUUAGACUAAAAUAAUGAUUGAUAACAUUAAUAUAUCAUCACCUCCCCUACAGAUAAUUUAAACAUACUUUUCACCUGUUGCCUAAUAUUAGCAAAUUCACUCGAUAUCUAAUAUAAUGCAUGCAUUCUCAGAAGAAAAUCAUAUGAUAUCUACUACUAAUAUACUUUUGGUUAUCUUUAAUAUCUCAAUUCUGUCACGGAGGACGCACACCCUUAUUCUAGGAAAGUACGUAAGUGCAUGCACGCAUCGCUUACUUUAUGCUGUGCCAAAUGCUGACAUAGCUCUGGUAUUAUAUAUGCGUAGCUAAAUGACCAACAUCCGCCUCCGUGUAGCGCUUCACCAAUGUCAUCGCCACCGCAACUCCGUCUGCUUCAGACAUCUCAAGUCUCUCCCCCGCCCGGGACAGCAUCCGAGUCCAUUUUGCCCCUCACCUUCUUCGACAUACUAUGGUUGCGAGGUGGAGCCGUGGAGCGAGUCUUCUUCUACCGUCUCCCCUACUCCACCUCCUAUUUCUGCGCCUCCGUCCUCCCCGACCUCGAGUCCUCCCUCUCUCUCGCUUUGCAGCAGUUCUACCCCCUCGCCGGCAAGAUCCGAAGGUCCCCCGGGCUCGAUGACGACAAGUACGAGAUCCGUUACGUCGACGGCGACUCCGUGUCGUUCACUGUGGCCGAGUACGACGCCGACUUCGAUGAGGUCUCCGGUGACCACGCACGUGAUGUCGGCUCGCUGCUACCGUUGCUUCCCCGGCUAUCGAGGUCCGACGACGACGGCGUGCCGGUGCUGGCCUUGCAGGUGACCGUGUUCCCGAACCAAGGCGUGGCCGUCGGAGUGGCGGUGCACCACGCCGGAUGCGAUGGCUCGAGCUCCAUGCGGUUCAUGUUCUCGUGGGCUUCCACAUGCGCGGGGCCGAGAAGCUCGGCGGCGGCGGUCGUGGUGCCGCCCGUCUUCGACAGGAGUUUGGUUUCUGUUCCUCGUGAUUUGUACUCCAUUUUCUACAGGUACUAUGGCCAGCGUGCUGACUGGAUCAUCCACGAGGAUCCACCGGUGGACAUGGUCAUCGCUUCGUUCGCUCUUAAAAAAGAUCACAUCCGAAGGCUGAAGGAACUGGUUUCCGCCAAAGCCGGAGCCAUGGAGGGAGGCGGCGCAUCCCUCCGCUGCUCCACCAUCAUGGCGACCUACGCUUACGUUUGGGUGUGCCUAGUCAAAGCACGAGCAUACGGAAGCGACCGGGCAGCCCACUUCAUAUUUGCUGCCGACUGCAGAGGAAGGCUGAGGCCCCCUCUGCCGGCGGCGUACUUCGGGAACUGCAUCGGCGUCUG